ACCGCGCCGCCAUAGUCGGAAGGGGCAGGGCCAGGUGAAAUCUCGCGAGAACGAGAAGGGGCGGGACCUAAAGGGAGGGGCGGGGAUGGGUGUGAUGACGUAUUGCUUGCGUAAUGGGUGUAUCCAUAGUACAUGGAUUUGGGAUGCUGUCGUGACAGGUUGGGAUAGGAGCCUUAUCCUGCGCUUUGUGCGUGUUCUAUGGCUCCUGCUGCGCUCCCCAUUGAAAUGAGGGGUUUUCAGCAGGGUGGGUGAAAAAGUUGGGCUGUUUGGGGCAAAACGUUUCAUUCGGAGCAGAGAAACUCGCGUUAGUGUCGUUUGGAUUAAUUAAUUAAGUAAUUAGUUGCACUGCAGUUGAUUUAUGAUUCAUUAGUUCAAUGAAUUCAUUCGCCGUAGAGGUGGCGGAUGGAACAGAGAAGAGCUGUGCCUCUCAUCCCAUGCAGGGCUUAAGGAUCCGAUGUUAUCCCAGUGCUGGCAGCCUCAGGGGUUCCAGAGCAGCCCAGCAUGGAUGUGGGGCACUGCACACUGACAACAGCCAUUUGUGCCCUUUGGUAACGACUCAUAAGGUACCAGCACAGAGGAGCGUAGGCAAUGUUGAUGACACCAAUGAUGACCAUCAGCCAGGGGAAGCCGAUAGCACGUGCGAUCGCACCGCCUGUGGAUGGGCCUGCAAGUUUAUAACCAAAAAGGACUUAGGAUGACAGAGAGCAGAAGCUGCCUCUGCAAACCCCAUCUGCCUGCCAUGAUUUCAGCCCAGCACGAUACCAUUAUCUGCCCUGCAGAAGACAGGAUUCGACCAGCUUCCCAUGCAUGGAGCAGCCUUUCUUCCACGGUUACUGCUCUUGGGGGGAGUCUGAUCCCAUAGCAUUUUCCCAGUAAUAGAGAAAAGCACAUUGUAGAGCUGCCACUAAGGACAUUUCCAGCUGCAAUUGGAGCAACACGCAGCCUGGGAUCACUCAUUCCAUGCAGUUGAGGGCAUAUGGUUUCUUGUAGGAUGAUAGAAGAGAUUAUUCAAUCCACCUCGCAGUGCCAAAGCAGG
rnacentral:lncRNA from 1 species